rnacentral:rRNA from 1 species
CCUACGGGCGGCAGCAGUGAGGAAUAUUGGUCAAUGGACGCAAGUCUGAACCAGCCAUGCCGCGUGCAGGAAGACGGCUCUAUGAGUUGUAAACUGCUUUUGUACGAGGGUAAACGCAGAUACGCGUAUCUGUCUGAAAGUAUCGUACGAAUAAGGAUCGGCUCACUCCGUGCCAGCAGCCGCGGUAAUACGGAGGAUUCAAGCGUUAUCCGGAUUUAUUGGGUUUAAAGGGUGCGUAGGCGGUUCGAUAAGUUAGAGGUGAAAUCCCGGGGCUCAACUCCGGCACUGCCUCUGAUACUGUCGGGUGAGAGUUUAGUUGCGGUAGGCGGAAUGUAUGGUGUAGCGGUGAAAUGCAUAGAGAGCAUACAGAACACCGAUUGCGAAGGUAGCUUACCAAACUACGACUGACGUUGAGGCACGAAAGCGUGGGGAGCAAACAGGAUUAGAUACCCGAGUAGUC